CGUGGAGUUUUUCUUCUAGACCCUGGCUGAGAAAGCCUUUAACCUAUGGAAAUGAGAGUUCCUUCUGCUGGUGAACAUCCUCUCUAGACGACGACGCCUUACUGUCGUCAUCGUGAGACCUCUUUGGCACUUGCUCCUGACUCUGCUCAGAUCUAGGAGCCGGUGGGAGUACUUCCUCUACGAUACUCGCAGAGAUGUAGAGUAUCAUGGAGAACCAGGCUGUAGUGGUGGGAUUCGCACAACUGCAGUAUAUUCGUUCUUGGUCCUCUCUUCCAUCGCUGUCCUCAAGGCUGUGAUCAUGGCUACUUCUGCUGCAUGGUUCCACAUGACCACAUACCACAACUAGGUGGAAGGAGUGUCUCUUCAACUGUAGCGUGAUCAAAGCUCUCCCCGGUAAAAGCCAUCUAUUUGAUCUCAGAAAGAGAUCAUCCUAGAACAUGAAGAAGAUGAUCAUAAAAGGAAAAGGAUAUGAUGGCCUACGCGUGAAGUUCAAAAGUGAAGUUGAGGCUAGAAUUGCAGCGAGAAGAGUCUUCCAGAGAAUUGCCAAGCCAGGAUUAGAUUUGAUGAUUUGGAGGACAUCACUCGGUUUCUUCCAACUGCUGGUGCUCUAAAGCUUUUGAUCAUAUUCCCUAGAUUAUUGGAGAGGGAGACUUCUCAAAUCAACAAAAAAAAAAAAAAAA